rnacentral:lncRNA from 1 species
GAAACCCUGAAAGUAUGCAGGUUUCUGUGAGUUUUGUUUUGAGUUGGCUAUGUCUCUGACACAUCAAGUGAGUCAUUUGUCAGAGAUGAACCCAGAUGAGAAUCUGGAUGGUAUUUCAUGCAAUACCAGUACUCUGAAUGUAGGGGACAGUUUAGAAUCUUUUCAGCUUCCCUAAGUUCUACUGGAUCUUAUCUUUCUGACUUGGAGAAGGGUAGGGUGAGGUGAUGUAUGUACAACUUCUUUAAUGCUAGAAAUGGUAAAAAUAGGUAUUUGAAGGAAGAAAGAAGGAAAUAGGUAGGCUGGGACCAGACUUUUACAAAAUUCUGAGAUGAGGAACUGAUGCAAAGGGGUUAAGUGACUUUCCCAGGGUCGCACAAGUAGCCUGGCACUCCAUCCAUUGAGCCACCUAGCUAUUUUACAAUAAUAACAUUAUGAAGAAAAUGACUUUGCAAGACUAGAACUAUAAUCAGGGCAAUGACUAACCACAAUUCUAGCAUGCUACCUUACUUCUGCCAGAGAGAUGAUGGACUUAAAAAGUUCUGGAUGCAGAUGAUGGAGCCUUUGACUCAGAGUCUCAACUGGAUGCUGUUAUCAUUCCCACGAGGAAGUCCUGAGAAGCCAGGGUCUCAGGAUGCAUGUCCAAAAGGACUUUGGACUUGGAACUUAGUGGGACUGAUGCCAUAUUAUUACUGAGAACCAACUCAUAGACUGUGCAGGGAGCAGAAGAUUGCAGUUUCGUGGGAUGCUGCCAACUUAUUAGUGGUGUACACUUUCGGUCAGGUGACUAGUGUGAUUCAAGAUCUGUUUGGACUGUGCCUGCUUGGUUAUAGGAAACAGAGGAAGGAGAGUCUUCAGAAGUUUUCUGGGAGAUCUGUGUCAUCUUUUAAGGCUAUUCCUCACCAUCCCUUCCAACUCUGGUUUACACAGCUUCCUCCAAACCCUUUCAUAUCAGUAAAACCAAAUUAUUCUAAACCUGCAAAAUUGCAAGAAUAAGUGUCAUCCACCCCUCUCCUUGCUUCCAAGUUGGAUCACACUUAAUUUAUAACAGUAAAAUAAUAGUGAUUUUAAGAUUUUAAAUUCUAUUACAUCCUCUGGUAACUCAUUCCAGUAGUUAGUGAGCCCAACAAUUUUUUCUGCCUUUAAUCUGAAUCCAGUUCUCUGCAUUUUAAUUCAUUUAAAUUUGUAAUGCUCAUAGAUUUUAAGGGAAAAAAAUGUCAGCAAUAUUAAAGUUGCUGGGGAGGAAAUUCAUUCCUAUUUUUCAUGUUGCUCCAUUAAGGGAUGCCCUUCUCUUUCCUCUCCACCAGUCCAUGGCACUUCUGUCCUUCAAAAUAUUAUUUAAGAUUCCCUUUCUUUAUGAGUCUUUUUGGCAAUGGCUUAUUCCCCCUCCCCUCCAACCCAAUUGAUCAUUUGCCUGAUGAGGAAAUUCGCAUACAGAGUUUACCCUAUAUAAAUUAACUUAAAAAAAUCUUUCUACCUUAGAAUUGAUACAAGCAUCAGUUCUAAGGUAGAAGAUCAGUAAAGGCUAGGCAAUAGGGGUUAAGUGAUUUGCCCAGGGUCACGCAGCUAGUAAGUGUCUGAGGCCAGAUUUGAACCAGGACCUCUUCCCCUUUCUCUAGGCCUGGUGUUUUAUCCACUGAACAACCUAGCUGCCCUUAUAAAUUAAUUUCCAAAAACAUUCAUUUUAGCAAUCAUU